UAUAAUCUUACUUGCUUGGAAUGCAAUGUUAAAUGUGCAGUUUGUGAUGUUUUAUGACCUCAUUUGUACUUCCUUUUCACUCACUUGUACAAAUUCUGGAAGUUCACUUCACUUCUGUAGACUGCAGAUCUACAGUAGUCACAUAUCUUAGAAAACAGAGGUUGCCCCCUGAGAGCAAGUGGAAGAUGAAUUCUGAUGCAGCAAAGCAAAAUAUUGAACUCUGAAAAUAACACAGGUGCCUCUCCAAGGAGUUUUGAAGUUGCAUGAAGUUAAAAACAAGUUGUAUAUGUCCAGAUCCACAUAUAUAGUAUAUAGUUUUUCUUAACAAAACUCCUUUUUGUUAAGGAACCCAUUUAGACCUGAAUUGUCAAAGUAGUACGGGUUUUCAUCUGUGGCCAGUUUGUAUCUAUAAUGCCUUUGUAUACAUAAGGCAUUGUUACUAUUUGCUCAGUACAGCAUUUAUGUGAAGUUAUUUCAAAGUGAUGCACUCUAGACAUUGCAGAAAUAAUUGCUGCUACCCCACUGACCUGGAAGUCCAAAACCUGAAGAUUUCUAACAUGGAAGUCCUCCCCAUCGCCCUUGGAGCAGGGAAGCCAUUUAGCAGAAAUUUAUCAGCCUGCAUAGUCUGACAGGUGAACAAGAUUCCUGCUGAGAAAUUUCCAUGAAUAGAUGCAUUCUUCCAUCAAUUAUAUUUAUUAUUUAUCAUUUGAAACCAGUUUUCUGAAGAAACUUCCCAGACAGCUCUUUUAAAUGAGAAAAAGAAUGGAGUUUCUUUAAUUUGCUUGCUUCUAGCUGUGCCUUAAAUUAAUGUUUCAUUUACUACCUUUCAUACAGCAUAGGGAUUGGUUAAGUUCUUUCCAUUUAUUAGCUGUUCAGGUUGUUUUGUUUAAGAAACAAGGUUCAGAAACACUUGAACAAAAUUACUUCACCAUCUAUAUACUGCAGCAAUUAUCUGUGGUAUACUAAAUCAGGACUCCUUGUUGAUAGUGAGAAAAUUAUGCUUUAUUUUACCUUACCUAAAGACAACUGCUUUCGCCAAAGCAGACAUGAGUUUAAGGUACAGUCACUGUAAUGAAAGCAUUUCAGAGAUAAAAAUAAAUGAUUGGAUCUAAAGUAACA
rnacentral:lncRNA from 1 species